GCCCACCCCCUCUUUCCUAACCUCCAUAUGCAUCUGUCCCAGGGAUGGCCAGUGCACACCCAGCCCAGACAGAUGCUGGACCAGCAGCUGCUUUGAUGGGUUCCCACCUCUCUGGGAAGCUGACAAGGGGAAGAGGUCCCCACAUUCUCUGCUGGCCCCAGCAUGGUGGUACACCAGCCUGAGGAUGGAUAACUGCAGAGCUGCUCCUUGGCCUCAGCAACGUCAGGCCCAGCAGUGGGGAUGAGAACCAAACAGCCUGCAGAACGUGAUAUUUUGACAGCUGAAUGUGUCUGGCCCUCCUGAGAGAUGCAAAGAUAUGGACUGGGACUUGACAUCACCUAUUGCAUCAACACAAAGCAAUAAACAGCUGCACGCAGUGUCUGUAACAAAAGUUCCCCUUUACAGAAAACAGGGAAACUCACAAGGAGCACUCACCCCUCUGGCAGCCCACGAGCAGAGCUGCUUGCCUUGCCAGUGGCCCCACAAAGUCAGAUUUUCUGAGCCUGGAAGAGAAGUUGUUGUGGGGAAAUCUACUCCCUUGGAGAAGGAGAGGAAUUCGGAGAUAACACCAGCAGAGGAUAUAAACAAUGGACACCCCACAGACCCACGCACACCGAGCAAAUGCCCUUACACAACAAAAAAAAAUGCAUAAGACACAUUAAAAUGCCCACCCAGGUUUGACAACACUGCAGACAGUCUCCUAUUCCUUAUCCU